UACAGAGGGGGCAAGCGUUAUUCGGAAUUAUUGGGCGUAAAGGGCGCGUAGGCGGCCUUGUAAGUCUUGGGUGAAAUCCCUCAGCUCAACUGAGGAACUGCCUCGGAAACUGCAAGGCUUGAGGCCGGGAGAGGGUAGUGGAAUUCCCAGUGUAGCGGUGAAAUGCGUAGAUAUUGGGAGGAACACCGGUGGCGAAGGCGGCUACCUGGACCGGUUCUGACGCUGAUGCGCGAAAGCGUGGGUAGCAAACAGGAUUAGAAACCCUCGUAGUCC
rnacentral:rRNA from 1 species